rnacentral:lncRNA from 1 species
UAGGGAGAGGGUUAUUGAAAUGAAAGAAUAGGUAAACACAAGUUCCAAGCUACAUUUGCAAGCAAUUCUUUUCUUUAGAUUUAUAAGAACUCAACCUUUCCAACGAUUCUUUUAGCACCUCCAACCACACCCUUAAACUGAAAUUUGAACAACUUUUUAUUUUCUUUGUGUACAAUCUUUCUUUUCCUUUUUUCUUUUUUAUUUUUUUUUU